rnacentral:rRNA from 1 species
CCUACGUGGGGCAGCAGUGGGGAAUAUUGGGCAAUGGGCGCAAGCCUGACCCAGCGACGCCGCGUGAGGGAAGACGGUCUUCGGAUUGUAAACCUCUUGCAGCAGGGAAGACAAAAGGACGGUACCUGCAGAAGAAGCAACGGCUAACUACGUGCCAGCAGCCGCGGUAAUACGUAGGUGGCAAGCGUUAUCCGGAAUUACUGGGUGUAAAGGGUGUGUAGGCGGGUUUGCAAGUCAGAGGUGAAAAUUAUGGGCUCAACCCAUAACCUGCGUCUGAAACUACAGAGCUUGAGAGUGGGAGAGGUAAACGGAAUUCCCGGUGUAGGAGUGAAAUCCGUAGAUAUUAGAAGGAACACCAAUAGCGUAGGCAGGUUGCUGGGACGGUUCUGACACUAAGGCACGAAAGCGUAGGGAGCAAACGGGAUUAGAUACCCCGGUAGUC